UACGGAGGGUGCGAGCGUUGUCCGGAAUCAUUGGGCUUAAAGGGCGCGUAGGCGGGCCGCCGCGUCCGGGGUGAAAUCCUCCCGCUCAACGGGAGAACGGCCUCGGAUACGGGCGGCCUGGAGGGGGGUAGGGGCGUGCGGAACUGUGGGUGGAGCGGUGAAAUGCGUUGAUAUCCACAGGAACUCCGGUGGCGAAGGCGGCACGCUGGACCCCACCUGACGCUGAGGCGCGAAAGCCAGGGGAGCGAACGGG
rnacentral:rRNA from 1 species